GUGUUGUAUGAAAGGAGAGAAGGUUAGCACUCCCCUUGGCAAGGAUGGAAGAAGCCCUUGGGCCUAACAACACGCAUAUGGUUAAGACAUUGCCACCUACUUUGUGGCAUCUAACUACUGUUUGCU
ensembl:snRNA U6atac minor spliceosomal RNA